CAGAUGGAAGCUGCUGACUGAUGGGAGCGCGAGGGCGCUGAGUGAGGCCUACCCGCCCCUCGACCAGCUCGCCCUGCUCGGAUGGGAAGGAACACCUGCGGAACACUCUACCCAAAAAGACCAGGCGAUGGGCUCGGGUUUCAGGCCUUGUCACUCAGCUGUCACCAAACAAACGAAGCUCUCAGAGCCCAGGAGAGGGAGAGCUACCUGCUAUUCAUGACCCCUGGAGCAGGUGAUCGCUCAUGGGAAAAACAGUGUUCCAUCUCAGUGAGGAGUGGAACUUGGUCCAAAAGAAUAUGGGACAUCUUCAGGUUACCUGAUGCUUCCCACAGAAAUGAGUCCCAGGUGUGGCCCCUGGAAUUAGGUUGAUUCCAGUAUCUUCCUGCCUGGGUGUCAGUGCAGCUGGACUAAUAAAAUUCUA